rnacentral:ncRNA from 1 species
UUAUCAAGAGCGGUGGAGGGAACGGCCCUGUGAAGCCCGGCAACCUGUUAUUUCGGUAAUAAGGUGCCAAAUCCGGCGGUGAGACGAAAGAUGAG